AGUGAACGCUGGCGGCAGGCCUAACACAUGCAAGUCGAACGGCAGCGGGAAGGAGCUUGCUCCUUUGCCGGCGAGUGGCGGACGGGUGAGGAAUACGUCGGAAUCUGCCUAUUUGUGGGGGAUAACGUAGGGAAACUUACGCUAAUACCGCAUACGUCCUACGGGAGAAAGCAGGGGACCUUCGGGCCUUGCGCAGAUAGAUGAGCCGACGUCGGAUUAGCUAGUUGGCGGGGUAAAGGCCCACCAAGGCGACGAUCCGUAGCUGGUCUGAGAGGAUGAUCAGCCACACUGGAACUGAGACACGGUCCAG
rnacentral:rRNA from 1 species